GUCAUACCAAAACAAACCCCACAAAGUUCAGUAAUAAUUCUGUUCCCGCAGAAGCAGGUGUUCACGCGGGGUUAUCGAGAAUGCUGACGUGUAAACUAUAAAUUUUCUUCUCGUGGCAUUAAAUGUACUUGAUGAACAACAAAACAGCAUGAUUCUAGCAUCAGCUGUACAGUAGCGAAGUCACACAAACAAAUAAUGCAUCGCACAUCUCAUCACUCAAGCCUUCAAGCAUAAUGAAUUUCCGUCAGAGAAUGGCAUGGCUAUGCCUAGCCUUUUACCUAGCGACUUCCUUUGCUGUUGUGUACUACUUCCUCGACAUCGCUGACCAGUAUGCUCUAUUUUCCCUCGAACAUUCAAAGUUGCACAAGUCAGGUGAUUCUGACAUUCCACUGUGGAAGUUUUGGCACCACAUUGGUGAUAUUCCAUUUCCUGUGUUGAUGAUACUGUUAGCUGUUCCUUAUUUUCAAGUUUUUGCAGCCCUCUUUUACUGCACUCUUCCUACUGCUAAUAAAAAUGUAAAUAAGUGCCUUGUGCCAGUUAUAGGUUGGAUUUAUAUGUUUCAGAAACUUUUAACAGUUUUCAAAGACCAUAAUGCUAAAAAUUGUGAUACUAUGCAUGAAAACUUACAUGUAGUUAGCAUGUCAUGAAUCAACACAUUUUCAGGUAAAGUUUUUGGUAUUGGGAUGAGGUGUUAUUGAUACACAUAUGUAACGAAUUUCCUCUUAAAUGGAGAGUUUUGAAUGCAUUGAGUUUCCAAAGGCAGUUAUUAAAGAGGCAUGAACUGUAUGAAUUAUAAUGGAUAAGAGAAAGAUUAAGAAAUUGGUAGGGAAUUGUGAUUUGCUCCCAUGCUGUCCAAUAUUGAUAUGAAUAU